AUUGAACGCUGGCGGCAUGCCUUACACAUGCAAGUCGAACGGCAGCACGGGAGCUUGCUCCUGGUGGCGAGUGGCGAACGGGUGAGUAAUGCAUCGGAACGUACCCGGAAGUGGGGGAUAACGUAGCGAAAGUUACGCUAAUACCGCAUAUUCUGUGAGCAGGAAAGAGGGGGACCGCAAGACCUCCCGCUUUCGGAGCGGCCGAUGUCGGAUUAGCUAGUUGGUGGGGUAAAGGCCUACCAAGGCGACGAUCCGUAGCGGGUCUGAGAGGAUGAUCCGCCACACUGGAACUGAGACACGGUCCAGACUCCUACGGGAGGCAGCAGUGGGGAAUUUUGGACAAUGGGCGAAAGCCUGAUCCAGCCAUGCCGCGUGAGUGAAGAAGGCCUUCGGGUUGUAAAGCUCUUUCGGCUGAAAAGAAAUCGCACAGGCUAAUACCUUGUGUGGAUGACGGUAUCAGCAUAAGAAGCACCGGCUAACUACGUGCCAGCAGCCGCCGUAAAAC
rnacentral:rRNA from 1 species